ensembl:lncRNA
CGGAAGUGCGCCGCUCUCAGCUCCGUUUCACAGAUUUUUCAACCUUCGUCAAAAAUCUCCACCGAACCAGCGGCACUUUCGGGCUGUAAUUCAACUUAAAACGAAUUUCUGUGCACAGAAUGUUCUGGAAUCCGGUUAAAGUGGAAGAAAAGACGUGGUUUCUGUGAAAGUUUCGCUAAAUUUACGGCUUCCGGCGGGAAAUUUGAUGGUUAAAGUUGACGUCGGUGUAACGAGGAUUAGUGUUGACCGACCGAACAUGUGCUGAGAUGCCUUCCUACAGCUUUCUGGAUAACUUGGAGCUUUUUAUCCGGACAGGAAAGUUUCCUGGAAAUGCUUCAACAAGCUCAAAGAAAGUGACCAAAGCUGCCAGCAAACACUUCCUCUACAAAGAUGGCUCUCUGUGGCGAACUUAUCGAGGCCGCCUCCUCCGUGUCGUCAGGAGCGACGAGGAGGUUCGGGACAUCCUGCUGCGUUACCAUGACAACAACAACCACGCUGGCCGAGUUCGGAUGGUGAAGGAGAUCAUGCUCUUGUAUUAUUGGGUCGGAGUGACGGAGGCCGUGAAGAAGUGGAUCAAAGCCUGCACCGUCUGUCAGAACCGACCUCGCCCCGAACCUCUGGACCCGCCCGUCCACUUCUGCCUGGUUUACGGCUGCGAUGCCUCCAGUUACGUUCACCCCGAGCUCAGCUUCCACAGGUUUCCAAAGGAGGCGGAGAGGCGGCGGACGUGGCUGGCGGUGGCUCAGAGGGACGAAGGUUCGCUCAGAUCAAACUCCUACAUCUGCUCACGACACUUUGACUCAUCCUGCUUCAACCUGAGCGACGAAGGUCAACGGAUGCUGUCAUCAGACGCUGUACCGACCAUCGUACCGCAAACUACUAAAGAGGACGAGGUGGUUGUCCCUUCGGAGGAUGAAUUUCUUCCCUCCAACACCCUGGAAGACCUUCUGUCGAUAGCUGCUGCUGCAGAAACCCCAGAAUCCUCUGGUCCGGCCUUAGAAGCCCCAGUGGGGCUGCAGGAACACCAGUACUGCCUCCCAGCUCCUGAUCCAGACUCCAUGGAGGUCCAGACGGUGAGGGACCUCAAGAAGAGGAAGACCAUCGUGGAGCCAAGCUUCUCCACUUACAACCAUAUUGCCAGGUAUCUGAGCCACCGAGUCUUACCUCUGCAGAGCAAGAGAAGCAGAGGGGCUUUAAAACGGAUGUCCAAGCGCUUCGGCCUGAUAGACGGAGAGCUGAUGUACACCAGAGUAUCUCCACCUGUCAGAGUCCCACGCAGCAGAGAGGAGGUAAACUCCAUCCUGCAGCAGUUCCAUGAUAACCAGGGUCACUACGGUCAGGGAAUCUGCCAGCGAGAGAUCUCCAAACACUUCUACUGGGCCAGCAUGAGCUGCGACUUAUCCACCUGGAUCUCCAGCUGCAACACCUGCCUCACCAGG